GAUGUUCGUGAUCGCUCCUUUCGGGAGUCUGUAGACCGUCAGAUUGAAGAGGCACGUCUGGAUGAAAAUUUGUCUGCAACUAGUGACGCCAGGGGUAACCUUGCAGCAGCUCGGGAGCAUACCCAGUCCCUCCAGGUAGAGUUGCACUCUACGCUGGAGGUCAUUAAAAAGGCUGAGGAGAAGGCGGCUGAGACAGCAGAGCACACCAAGUCUUUAGAAGCAGAGCUGUCUCACACUCGCAAGGUUCUCAAGGAGUCUGAUGAGAGAGCAGCUGCCGUGGAGGCUCAUUGUGCAGAAGUUUUAAAGCAGCUGUCCUCUAUGACGGGGGCCCUUCGAGAGAGAGAUGAGGCUGUGAGCCAGAGAACU
rnacentral:lncRNA from 1 species